CCUACGGGAGGCAGCAGUGGGGAAUAUUGGACAAUGGGCGAAAGCCUGAUCCAGCAAUGCCGCGUGAGUGAAGAAGGCCUUCGGGUUGUAAAGCUCUUUUACCCGGGAAGAUAAUGACCGUACCGGGAGAAUAAGCCCCGGCUAACUCCGUGCCAGCAGCCGCGGUAAUACGGAGGGGGCUAGCGUUGUUCGGAAUCACUGGGCGUAAAGCGUGCGUAGGCGGCCAUUCAAGUCAGAGGUGAAAGCCCAGGGCUCAACCCUGGAACUGCCUUUGAAACUAGGUGGCUGGAACACGGGAGAGGUGAGUGGAAUUCCGAGUGUAGAGGUGAAAUUCGUAGAUAUUCGGAAGAACACCAGUGGCGAAGGCGGCUCACUGGACCGUUGUUGACGCUGAGGCACGAAAGCGUGGGGAGCAAACAGGAUUAGAUACCCUGGUAGUCCACGCCGUAAACGAUGAUAACUAGCUGUGGGUCGUCUUGUAGCUCCACGUGGCGCGAGCUACGACAUUAAGUUAUCCGUCCGUCGGGUAGGUACGGCCGGCGAACGGUUAAACGUACAACUAGAUUAGUACGGCGUGAGACGUGCCGACGGACGACGACGAGGGAGGUAGG
rnacentral:rRNA from 1 species